rnacentral:rRNA from 1 species
UACAGAGGCCUCAAGCGUUGUUCGGAUUCAUUGGGCGUAAAGGGUGCGUAGGUGGCGGGGUAAGUCUGGUGUGAAAUCUCGGAGCUCAACUCCGAAACUGCACUGGAUACUGCCUUGCUCGAGUACUGGAGAGGAGAUUGGAAUUUACGGUGUAGCAGUGAAAUGCGUAGAUAUCGUAAGGAAGACCAGUGGCGAAGGCGAAUCUCUGGACAGUUACUGACACUGAGGCACGAAGGCCAGGGGAGCAAACGGG